UCUACACCAUAACUUCUUUAAAUGUGUUUUUUUGCAUUUCUGAGGUAAGACCUCUUGCCUUCCUUCCUGUGAAAGGAAGGAAAAUUCUAGCAUAUUCCUGAGAAAAUGCCAAGGAAAACUUUUUAAAAAACAGAAUAGUACAAAAAUGUUCUUAACUGGUUUUUCUUCCAGAGAGGGAGGAAGGAAGGAACCUUAAACAAACAUCUUUUCCCUAGAGCUGUUAAAGUAUCUUAACCUAAUACUCUAUUUCAAAAUAAUUGAAAAAUUUUAAAAGGAUUUUGUUGCCUAGAAGAGGUUUUGUGGUUGGUAAAUUAGACAUUAUACAAAGGAGUGUGAUUUUUAUAACGUGUCUCAUUUCUAAAUUUUUCUUGCUUACAGAGGGCAAAUAGUUUUCUAACCUUCAGCACUGAAGAAAAGACAUUGAAGAGAGAUUAUGCAAGAUGAGAUCAGCUUACAUUCCUACUGUACUAGGAGCUGUGCAUAAAUUAAGCAGUAGCUGGAGCUCUGAGAGACAUGAGAUAUAAGACAUGGCAAAACCAUGAGGACUGGGAAAUCUGAAUAUGCAGUCCGAGAAGCACCUCCAGAAUAAUCCAGUGGUGUGGAGCACCUCAGACAGGAAGGGACUUGUUGCAGCAAAUGGUCAGCUAUUCCCGCUUUCAUAAGCAGAGUGUUGUUGCCAAGAGAAAGGGUAGCCGGAAGGCUAGAGGAAACAGAACAUCACAAAGGACUACAGCAUGAUUCUGGUUCAGAUCCACGUGGAAGUUUUGUCCAAAAUCUGUAUGAAACAGAGGCCAACAAGAAGCUUUGUAUAUUGUUAAGCUCUUGCUUGAGUUUUGGUUUCAAUCCACAAACAGGCCUAAGCAUUGUAUUAGCUCAGCACAGGAGUAAAUUCUACCAUCUGUGACUCCUUAUGCUUGUAAACAGUGUAAAUCAUAUGUAUGCUGGGGAACACUGUGCUCGGUAGAAAACGUUGGCCAAACUAGUCUCUCAGACAGUUUGUGUAAUGCAUAAAGCCUGCAAGGCCUUUUCUGUUCAAUGUCUGUUACUGUCCAGCCAUUACUUCAAAUUCUCUAAUGGGUUGGUUGUGGAGUUUUUUGUAGGCUCCAACUGUAGCAUGCUUUUUUCUACGAUCUGGCUUGAGUUAUGGUUACAUUUCUGAUCUCUAUAAAGCCUGUGCUUUCUCUAAUUCAGAAAUAGAGAAAAUUCCUUUGACAGAUAUAAGCUAUUAUUAUACUAUGUGGAUGCUCAGCUCUAAGUUUUUAACUGAGAAAUCAUUGUCUAGGAAAUCCUUGCCAUCUGAGUUUCAGAUGUAUUAGCUAUAAACAUGCAGUAUGUUCCCAGCUGUAGGCUUUUUUUCUUCUCUUGCUGCACGCUGCUUGCUCCAUGGAGUUUUGUGGAGGUAGGACUUAACUACAAAAUUUUGGUAUCAGUCCAACAUGUGCAUCUGGCUUGCUUAGUAAAUGUACUUCUACAGCAGUAAAACAAUAGGCAAUGGGGGAAGGGAGUGGAACCAAAAAGCAAGAGACAAAUGACUGAUUAGUGGUAAGAGAACUUGAAGGAAAAUUAAGGGGUCAGCAAAAGUGAAUUUUGCUGAUUUAGUGGCAUUUAGCCUCGUGUAUAAAGAAUGCCAAGGCUGCACAAAGAACAGUGUCCUGCCUUGUGUAUGUGUUGUAGACCAUAUACUUCACUAGGUAUUUUUCCUGAGCUCC